CCUACGGUCGGCAGCAGUGGGGAAUAUUGGGCAAUGGGCGCGAGCCUGAACCAGCCAAGUCGCGUGAGGGCUGACGGCCCUACGGGUUGUAAACCUCUUUUGCCGGGGAGCAACGGGCGCCACGUGUGGCGCCCCUGAGAGUACCCGGAGAAAAAACAUCGGCUAACUCCGUGCCAGCAGCCGCGGUAAUACGUAGGAUGCGAGCGUUAUCCGGAUUUAUUGGGUUUAAGGGGUGCGUAGGCGGAUCGUUAAGUCAGUGGUCAAAUUGCGGGGCUCAACCCCUUCCCGCCAUUGAAACUGGCGAUCUUGAGUGGAAGAGAAGUAUGCGGAAUGCGUGGUGUAGCGGUGAAAUGCAUAGAUAUCACGCAGAACCCCGAUUGCGAAGGCAGCAUGCCGGCUUCCGACUGACGCUGAAGCACGAAAGCGUGGGGAUCGAACAGGAUUAGAUACCCUUGUAGUC
rnacentral:rRNA from 1 species